GACGAACGCUGGCGGCGUGCUUAACACAUGCAAGUCGAACGGAAAGGCCCUGCUUUUGUGGGGUGCUCGAGUGGCGAACGGGUGAGUAACACGUGAGUAACCUGCCCUUGACUUUGGGAUAACUUCAGGAAACUGGGGCUAAUACCGGAUAGGAGCUCCUGCUGCAUGGUGGGGGUUGGAAAUUUUCGGCGGUUGGGGAUGGACUCGCGGCUUAUCAGCUUGUUGGUGGGGUAGUGGCUUACCAAGGCUUUGACGGGUAGCCGGCCUGAGAGGGGGACCGGCCACAAUGGGACUGAGAGACGGACCAGACUGCAAUGGGAGGCAGCAGUGGGGAAUAUUGCACAAUGGGCGGACGCCGGAUGCAGAAGCGCCGCGUGCGGGAAGACGGCUUUCGGGUUGUAAACCGCUGUCGCCUGUGACGAAGCGUGAGUGACGGUAAUGGGUAAAGAAGCACCGGCUAACUACGUG
rnacentral:rRNA from 1 species